UUAAAUAAAAAAAUCUUAGGUGCUUUUUAGCAUAAAAGGGAAAGCGGUGAAAAUCCGCUGUAGCCCCCGCUACUGUAUACGGCGACAAAUCCUAGACCACCGGACAACCGGGAAGGUAGGAGGAGGACGACCCGCCAGCCAGGAGACCUACCUGAGAUAUGCUAAUCCU
rnacentral:ncRNA from 1 species